AGGCACGUACUGUCAAUGGUAGACGGUCUCCUUUACACGGAGAAGGUUGGGGGUUCGAGUCCCUCCGUGCCUACCA
rnacentral:tRNA from 1 species